UGGGAUCUGAACAAUGAGGAAAGAACAGCAGUUCUGAAAGCCUGUGAAUGGUAAUGGGGUUGCUGUGAAAGCCCUAACAUCCUGAUUACUUCCACGUCUGCUUGUGCUGCUCAGUAGAAAAUUCUGUUUUCUGCAUUUGAAGAUUUUUGAUUCUUUUCUAAUGGGAAAGAUGAUUUCCACACACCUGUGCUGCUGGAACAGGGAAUAAUAAAG
rnacentral:lncRNA from 1 species